rnacentral:rRNA from 1 species
AUGCUCGCGACCACGCCGUCGUCGUCGGGGGUCAAGUUACAGCCAUGGGGGAGUUGCCAGAGAAGGGCGGCAUCACCUGCUCUUCUUCCACCGACGGCCACCGGACGGAUCGUCGUCGAUUCCGGGAGGACGCUUCCCUCCCCUCUUCCUCUACGAGCUGUCGCCUCCCAGAGCGCGCAGACCUCUCGUGCGCCACAGCCACAGCCUCCGCCGUUGGAUGUUGACGAGGAGAAGAUGCUGGCCAACUACGUCCCGGUGUUCGUCAUGCUCCCCCUAGAAGCGAUCACCGCCGAGAACAAGGUGAAGGACGCGGAGGGGCUGAGGCUGAAGCUGCGGCGGCUGAGGGAGGCGGGCGUCGACGGCGUCAUGGCGGACGUGUGGUGGGGCAUCGUGGAGGGCGCCGGGCCGGGGCGGUACGAGUGGCGCGCGUACAGGGAGCUCUUCCGGUUGGCGCAGGAGGAAGGACUGAAGCUGCAGGUCAUCAUGUCGUUCCACGCGUGCGGCGGCAACGUCGGCGACGCCGUGAACAUCCCGAUACCGGCGUGGGUGCGCGACGUCGGCGAGGCGGACCCGGACGUGUACUACACUAGCCCCGGCGGGGCCAGGAACCAGGAGUACCUCACCAUCGGCGUGGACGAUCGGCCCUUGUUCCACGGCAGAACCGCCAUCCAGCUCUACGCGGAUUUCAUGGAGAGCUUCAGAGAGAACAUGGCGGACUUGUUGGAGUGUGGCCUAAUCGUGGACAUAGAGGUUGGGCUUGGCCCUGCCGGCGAGCUGAGGUACCCAUCCUACCCGGAGAGCCAGGGGUGGGCGUUCCCCGGCAUCGGGCAGUUCCAAUGCUACGACAAGUACCUAGAGGAGGAUUUCAGAGCGGCAGCGACGGAUGCCGGACACCCGGAGUGGGAGCUCCCCGACGACGCCGGGGAGUACAACGACGCCCCUGACGACACGCGCUUCUUCACGGCGGACGGCGCCGGCGCGACGUACCUCACCGAGAAGGGGAGGUUCUUCCUCACAUGGUACUCCAGCAAGCUGAUCGAGCACGGCGACAGGAUCUUGGACGAAGCCAACAGGGUCUUCCUGGGCUGCACCGUCAAGCUCGCCGCAAAGGUGUCGGGGAUACACUGGUGGUACAGGCACCCGAGCCACGCGGCGGAGCUCACCGCCGGGUACUACAACGUCGACGGGCGGGACGGCUACCGGGCGAUCGCGCGCAUGCUGGCGCGGCACGACGGCGCCGUCCUCAACUUCACCUGCGCGGAGAUGCGGAACUCGGAGCAGGCCGAGGAGGCCAUGAGCGCCCCGGAGGAGCUCGUCCACCAGGUGCUGAGCGCCGGGUGGAGGGAGGGGACCGAGGUGGCGUGCGAGAACGCGCUGCCCAGGUACGACCGGCGGGCGUACAACCAGAUGCUGAAGAACGCGCGUCCCAACGGCGUCGACCUCGGCGGCGUCCCGGCGCGCCGCCUCGCCGCGGUGACGUACCUCAGGCUCACAGACCAACUCCUGGCCGGGAACAAGUACCGGGCCUUCAAAACCUUCGUCAGGAAAAUGCACGCCGAUCAGGAUUACUGUGCCGAUCCGGCCCAGUACCACCGGCCCCUGAAGCCUCUGGAGCGGUCGAGGCCGGCGGUACCCAUGGACCAGCUGCUGGACGCGACGUCGCCGGAGGAGCCAUACCCGUUCGAUCCCGAGACGGACAUGAGCGUCGGCGGCGACCUCGCGGAGCUCAUCGACUGGGCGUUCGACAAGAUCGAAUGGAUAUUCGGUUGA